UACGUAGGGUGCGAGCGUUGUCCGGAAUUAUUGGGCGUAAAGAGCUCGUAGGCGGUGUGUCGCGUCGGCCGUGAAAACUUGCAGCUUAACUGUGGGCGUGCGGUCGAUACGGGCAUCACUGGAGUUCGGCAGGGGAGACUGGAAUUCCUGGUGUAGCGGUGAAAUGCGCAGAUAUCAGGAGGAACACCGGUGGCGAAGGCGGGUCUCUGGACAGUUCCUGACGCUGAGGCACGAAGGCCAGGGGAGCAAACGGG
rnacentral:rRNA from 1 species